UUUCCGCAGCAGCCUUGCGUCUGGCUCCUGGGAGAAGCGGAAAAUAGAAGGCAGCUUUUGUGUGCUCCACGACUUUCCCUUGCAGUCAACUUCCCCGGAGCAGACCGUGACAGAUAGAUGCAUAUGCCAAUAGGGACCAGAUCCAUGCGUACAAAACCUACAUAGAGUGCAGCCAUAUAGCCAGCGGCAUGUAAUAAUGCAGAUUAUAGCAUACCCCCGGUUGCUGACUUCUUGGGUUUAAUACCCGUAGUACAAGGGGUCCGCUCUGAAGGAAGUCUGCGCGCGAUCAAUCUUAUUCGCCAAAAGGUCUGACAGCUCCUGGCCCUUGACAACACAUUGGGAGAUUCUUGCUCUUUCCAAGACCAAAUGUUGCCGAGAAAUGAGGGAAGAGCAAGAAACGCAAGAGGACGAAGGAGGAGACCAGAUUCAGAAAAUGGGGGAAAAUAUACCAAAUCCUGGGAAGAAGGUCCAUGCGUGAAAGCUGCCACUGACUGUCCACCAGCCCACGGAAGGAGAAGGCUUGGCGAUCGGCUACUGCCUACUCUCCCUUCACGUUCAGCCCCCUUUGUGAGCAUGAACUACCGUAGUUACCGAAAAACUGCCUCAAACCUCAGAGGCGAUUUAUGAUGGACUGUCUCUUCCAGGAGUGAUUAACGACAUGGGAAGCCAUAAAAGACUGACUGUAUUUCGAAUUUGCCCCUUGGAAACGGCGUCCCGCCGCCUCUUAUUUGGAUGCCUAGCUCCGCUGGCCUGUAUUUAAAGCAACCCCCGCACAAUGUAACAGCCUUUAGCUUCUUUCUUCUGACCCUGGGAGGGAAAGUGUGGGAGUAGAGAGGUCCCCAGUGCCAAAGAGAGGAACGUCUUUCUCCUUUGAGCUGCCUUGGAGGAGAGAGACGUUGAGGCAGGAGAAGGGGAGAGAUACACCGAGGGAGAAAGGGAAAGAGAAAGGCUCUCAAGAGAAGAUGGCGAUCGCCUUCCUUCCUCUUCAAGCAAGGGGUGGUGAAUCUGCAUCCCCGCCCCCAUUGCCCCCCCCUCGACUCCCGCAGCUUCUCAGGCCCAGCACCAGCACCAGCACCUGUGAUCGCGGCGCUUUGUUCCUGGCUUGCGAGCUCCAGGGUCACUCUGGCUCCCGCUCGGGGCCUGGCAGCUCGGAGAAGCAGCCCCAAGCCAGCCCAGCUACCGUGUGUCGGACCCGGAGCCCGCACCAAGGGCGCUCCCCCCCACACACAUAUAUUUCUAACAGCACCCCAAGGCAAGCCCUAGGCCAAGGCUGGCUCCGUGGGGGACUGGGGC